CCUACGGGUGGCAGCAGUGAGGAAUAGUGGUCAAUGGCCGGAAGGCUGAACCAGCCAAGCCGCGUGAAGGACGAAGGUGCCAAGCAUUGUAAACUUCUUUUGUGCGGGAGCAAGAAGGGGCACGUGUGGCCAGACGAGAGUACCGUACGAAUAAGCAUCGGCUAACGCCGUGCCAGCAGCCGCGGUAAUACGGGGGAUGCAAGCGUUAUCCGGAUUUAUUGGGUUUAAAGGGUGCGUAGGCUGUGAGGUAAGUCAGCGGUGAAAUGCCCCCGCUCAACGGGGUGAAGUGCCAUUGAUACUGCCUUGCUGGACUGCGGCUGCCGUGGGCGGAAUGUGUGCUGUAGCGG
rnacentral:rRNA from 1 species